AGUCGAGGUAACUCAGUUGAUAGAGUGUCAGAUUCGUAAUCCAAUGGUCGCGGGUUCGACACCCGCCCAGGCCA